CACGUAGGGGGCAAGCGUUGUCCGGAUUUAUUGGGCGUAAAGAGCUCGUAGGUGGUUCGGUAAGUCGGGUGUUAAACCCCCAGGCUCAACCUGGGGACGCCACUCGAUACUGCUGUGACUAGAGUCCGGUAGGGGAGCGUGGAAUUCCUGGUGUAGCGGUGAAAUGCGCAGAUAUCAGGAGGAACACCAGCGGCGAAGGCGGUCUGCUGGGCAGUAGCUGACACUGAGGCGCGACAGCGUGGGGAGCAAACAGG
rnacentral:rRNA from 1 species